GGUGCUGUGGCUUAGUUGGUCAAAGCGCCUGUCUCGUAAACAGGAGAUCCUGGGUUCAAGUCCCAGCAGUGCCU
rfam:Danio rerio chromosome 4, GRCz11 reference primary assembly.